UAGCAACAGGAAACAUCUGUUUCGGCGUCGACCAAUAAGGAGCGUUGGCAGUCUGUUAUUGCUCGGUGCACAGAAAGGAGAUAUUUUAAGAGCAGAGAGUGAGGCGAGUACUACAGGGAUUAUAUCAAAAGCGAGCCGUCGACAUCUGGGGGCGAGACGUCAAGCUCUCGCGGAGCUGAAAGCGGCAACAAUAUGAGACGCGCGCGCCUCUGAUCUGAUGAACACGCGCGUGCGGAGACUAUUAAUGCAGCUUGGGGUGUCUUUAUAAAUAAGGAACCAUUAGGCAAUGUGUGUGAGCCAGAGGAAAAAGCCUCAGGUGAAUAGAGGAUUUGUGACAGAGGUGUGUGAGUGUGGCUGCGUGAAGCAGUCCUCAGGGUCUUUUCUCUAAGAGUGCCCUCAGCAGUCAACAACGUCGAAAGUCGCCUACUUUAAGCGGAAAUAUGCGGAAGAAGAAGAUGUUCAGGGAAGCCUACAUGGAUAUUUACAAAAACACCUGAUCCUGCGUGAGGAGCGCAGCUGCAUUCUGCGUCUGUCUCUGCAAAAGCUGCGUUUCCUAGACGACCCAGAGGCUUAUCUCCGCCGCUCCGUCCUCAUCAACAACCUGCUACGCAAGAUCCACCUAGACGAAACCCAGAGGGAGAGAGAGAAACAGAAACAGAGGGAUGAUGAGGAGAAGGAGGAGAUGGAGGCGAGGCGGAUACUGUCGCCCAGCAGGAAGAGAUUAAAGGUGGUCCUGACCCAAUGUCGGUCCUCGAGUUUCGGGCUCCAGGAAUUACAGCAGUACAAGCUGCUGCCGUAUUCGGCCUCCCCGGGCACAUGCAUCUGUGGCCUCGGGGGCUGCCACACCCUGACUCCUGAUCAUGGAGCUUCUGUGCUACUCUACCAUUUGGAUGACAAAGGAUGAGAUAUCCGUUUGUGAAUGUAAGGAAUUGUCAGUCACUGAUUUACACAGGAGCAAAAUGGCAGCAAAAAGAAGAAUUUGUGUGCAUUUUUGUACUUGUGCUGUUUGCUGUAAAGGGUGAGCCCUGUUGUUUGUGACAGUGGUACAAUCUGUCAAUAUCAGGGUGUAUUUUCCUAAUGAAAAAAAACAUCUUGUUAUCACUGCCUUGCUUUGUAAAUCUAAACUUUGAUCGCAGACUUUUUUGCGUUUUAUGAAUUUGCUUGAGUUUUGCUUGAUUGAGAACUGUUUUCAGGGAUAAAACGGCAAACGAAAGCCAUGCACUUUGUGGUUGUUAUGUUGUAAGGAAAUAAUAUAAAAUUUGAAAUUGUCAAUGUCUUGGUUGCUCUCGAGAAUGGAGUGAUACUGAUGUUUUACUCAAGCUUUAUUGCUGUGAAAUGGACUUUUCUGUGUAAGUGGCUACUGAUGUUGAACUUGAUGAUUUGCUUUGCCAGCUGAUAAGCUAGGAUUUGCAUUAACUGAGGUAAAAAAGAAAAAUGAUGUACAAUGUUUGAAGAAAAAAUCGGAAAAUGAUAAGUGAAAUUGAUUAGAGUAAAAAUGCCCUCCUUGGCGUUCUGCUUUGUUGGGUUAAACAGGGUAUCUAUACCACACAUCUUUUCAGUACUUAACAAUUACAAGUAAGUAAACAUUUUUGGGCUUAACAUUAAAAUAACACAAAGUUUACAUUGCAUUUACUACUCUUGUUUUAUUUAAGUCCUUGAUAAUGUUAAAACAUCUGGUUCUGUACUGCCCUCUAGUGUUAUGCUGAUGAAUUUUGUGCAUCUUAUUUUGUUUUUAUUCAUUUUCAAUUGACUGUACGACCUGCAUGUUAUUAGGCUUGUUUACCCAUUUUGUUAAGCCAGUUUACUCUGUUAGAUUUCUGGUUCUAUAAUCUUUGAAUCUGUUUAAAACCUUUAGGUGGGUGGGUGUCAGAAUAUCUCUUAACAAUGGCCUAUUCAGUGCAUGGGCCUGGCUUUCAGUUCUCAUUAUCCCUCCCAAACAAAACCUCAGAUUUUAACUGUUCUUUUUUCAUAUUCCUGUAAAUGUCUGCAACAUGUUGGUUACACAAGGUUUUCAACAAGCAAAGUAGUGCAAGCAUAUUUUGGUACAUAUAUAAUGACUGGUACUCUCCCUAAUAUUAAUAUUUUUGUGCAUAUUUGUAUUCUAAAGUGAUGUUUGUUUUAUUUGUUUUUUUUUUAAGUUCUGGAUGUCAUUUAUUUAACAGUAAACUGAGAGUGCUAUCUUUUGCACAUUUCAAGGCAUAGACAUGGAUAUCCGUUUUAUUUUAAAAUGAAGCUAUUUUUUUCUAAGAGAACAUUGUUCCUCAGAUAAUUUAGUGCUAUUUUGCCAAAAGAUUUAAAAGUAGCAAACAAAGAAAUACGUCUAUUUUCAGGCAAUGCUAUCAAACAAAAAUAAAAAACUGAAUGUU